CCUCACUGUCUUGGUCCUCCAGGUCUUUCGAUUUGACACCAUUUCAGAGAAGACAUCUGAUCAAAUCCACUUCUUCUUUGCCAAGCUGAACUGCCGGCUUUACAAGAAAGCCAACAAAUCCUCAGAGCUGAUAUCAGCCAACCGCCUCUUUGGAGAGAAAUCUUUGGUCUUUAAUGAAACCUACCAGAACAUUAGUGAAAUAGUUUAUGGAGCCAAACUCUGGCCUUUGAAUUUCAAAGAGAAGCCAGACCUCUCCAGGAAGAUAAUUAACGAGUGGGUGGCUAACAAGACAGAGAGGCGUAUUACAGAAGUGAUCCCAGAAGGAGGUAUCGAUGAUCUCACCGUUCUGGUCCUGGU